GACGAACGCUGGCGGCGUGCUUAACACAUGCAAGUCGAGCGAUGAAACACCUCCGGGUGCGGAUUAGCGGCGAACGGGUGAGGAACACGUGAGGAAUCUGCCUUCCACUCUGGGAUAACUCCGGGAAACCGGGGCUAAUACCGGAUACUUUCAACUGGCGGCAUCGCCGGUUGAAGAAAGUUUUUCGGUGGAAGAUGACCUCGCGGCCUAUCAGCUGGUUGGGGAGGUAAAGGCUCACCAAGGCGACGACGGGUAGCCGGCCUGAGAGGACGACCAGCCACACUGGGACUGAGACACGGCCAGACUCCUACGGGAGGCAGCAGUGGGGAAUUUUGGACAAUGGGCGCAAGCCUGAUCCAGCCAUGCCGCGUGCGGGAAGAAGGCCUUCGGGUUGUAAACCGCUUUUGUCAGGGAAGAAACGCUCUGGGCUAAUACCCCGGGGUAAUGACGGUACCUGAAGAAUAGGCACCGGCUAAC
rnacentral:rRNA from 1 species